UGUCCAGGGAUGGGAAACGAACCCACAAUUUUCUACUUACCAGGCAGAUGCCAUGUCCACUUGGAUAUCCUGGAC
rnacentral:tRNA from 1 species